GUGAAUGCCUAGGCUCUCAAAGGCGAUGAAGGACGUGAUAAGCUGCGAUAAGCUACGGUUAGGAGCAAAUAUCCUUACCCGUAGAUUUCCGAAUGGGGCAACCCUGUAGUUUGAAGAACUACAAUCCGAAAGGAAGCAAACCCGGAGAACUGAAACAUCUAAGUACCCCGGAGGAAGAGAAAACAAUUAAGUGAUUCCCUAAGUAGUGGCGAGCGAAAGGGGAACAGCCCAAACCAGUGUCGUUACGGCGAUACUGGGGUUGUAGGACUACAAUGUGGACUGUUUUUUCAAAGUGGAAAUACCUGGAAAGGUAUAUCACAGAGGGGUGAUAAUCCCGUACACGAAUUGAAAGAGCUACCUAGUAGUAUCCUGAGUACCGCGAGGUCGGAGACGCCUUGUGGGAAUCUGCCAGCACCAUCUGGUAAGGCUAAAUACUUUUGAGAGACCGAUAGUGAACUAGUACUGUGAAGGAAAGGUGAAAAAGAACGCGAACAGCGGAGUGAAAUAGAACCUGAAACCAUACGCUUACAAGCGGUCGGAGCAGCUACGU
rnacentral:rRNA from 1 species